UUCCAUUACCAAAGAACACUUCAGCAGUACCUGGGCCAUAUACUCAGCGAGAUUUGAAAUCGUUUGAAUCUACUCAUACAUCUAUCUAUCGUCUAAAUCAUUAGCUGUGUAAGGUGAUCAACGAUUCCUGCUUCUUUUGUAAUUCAUUAUAAUGUAAAUAAUUUUUCAAUCACGUCAAUAUUUUUUAUAUAUGUAUCUGAACAUUAAAUUAAUUUGAAGUUUAAUUAGAUUUUUUUUUAAAUUAAAUGUAUUAUUUUUUUUUUAAUUUUAUUAAAAAAGUGAAGUUAAUACAUGAAAUAAAAUGUUCUCUGCUAUA